rnacentral:rRNA from 1 species
UACGUAGGGUGCGAGCGUUGUCCGGAAUUAUUGGGCGUAAAGAGCUCGUAGGCGGUCUGUCGCGUCGAUCGUGAAAACUUGGGGCUUAACCCUGAGCUUGCGGUCGAUACGGGCAUGACUGGAGUUCGGCAGGGGGAGACUGGAAUUCCUGGUGUAGCGGUGAAAUGCGCAGAUAUCAGGAAGAACACCUAUGGCGAAGGCAGCUCUCUGGGACGGUACUGACGCUGAGACGCGAAAGCGUGGGGAGCGAACAGG